rnacentral:rRNA from 1 species
UACGGAGGAUCCAAGCGUUAUCCGGAUUCAUUGGGUUUAAAGGGUGCGUAGGCGGAAUGAUAAGUCAGUGGUGAAAGCCUGCAGCUUAACUGCAGAACUGCCAUUGAUACUGUCAAUCUUGAGUACAUUUGAUGUGGGCGGAAUGUGUCAUGUAGCGGUGAAAUGCUUAGAUAUGACACAGAACACCGAUUGCGAAAGGCAGCUCACAAAACUGUAAAC